CGAAUGCUGACAUAAGUAACGAUAAAGCGGGUGAAAAGCCCGCUCGCCGGAAGACCAAGGGUUCCUGUCCAACGUUAAUCGGGGCAGGGUGAGUCGACCCCUAAGGCGAGGCCGAAAGGCGUAGUCGAUGGGAAACAGGUUAAUAUUCCUGUACUUGGUGUUACUGCGAAGGGGGGACGGAGAAGGCUAUGUUGGCCGGGCGACGGUUGUCCCGGUUUAAGCGUGUAGGCUGGUUUUCCAGGCAAAUCCGGAAAAUCAAGGCUGAGGCGUGAUGACGAGGCACUACGGUGCUGAAGCAACAAAUGCCCUGCUUCCAGGAAAAGCCUCUAAGCAUCAGGUAACAUCAAAUCGUACCCCAAACCGACACAGGUGGUCAGGUAGAGAAUACCAAGGCGCUUGAGAGAACUCGGGUGAAGGAACUAGGCAAAAUGGUGCCGUAACUUCGGGAGAAGGCACGCUGAUAUGUAGGUGAAGUCCCUCGCGGAUGGAGCUGAAAUCAGUCGAAGAUACCAGCUGGCUGCAACUGUUUAUUAAAAACACAGCACUGUGCAAACACGAAAGUGGACGUAUACGGUGUGACGCCUGCCCGGUGCCGGAAGGUUAAUUGAUGGGGUUAGCGCAAGCGAAGCUCUUGAUCGAAGCCCCGGUAAACGGCGGCCGUAACUAUAACGGUCCUAAGGUAGCGAAAUUCCUUGUCGGGUAAGUUCCGACCUGCACGAAUGGCGUAAUGAUGGCCAGGCUGUCUCCACCCGAGACUCAGUGAAAUUGAACUCGCUGUGAAGAUGCAGUGUACCCGCGGCAAGACGGAAAGACCCCGUGAACCUUUACUAUAGCUUGACACUGAACAUUGAGCCUUGAUGUGUAGGAUAGGUGGGAGGCUUUGAAGUGUGGACGCCAGUCUGCAUGGAGCCGACCUUGAAAUACCACCCUUUAAUGUUUGAUGUUCUAACGUUGACCCGUGAUCCGGGUUGCGGACAGUGUCUGGUGGGUAGUUUGACUGGGGCGGUCUCCUCCUAAAGAGUAACGGAGGAGCACGAAGGUUGGCUAAUCCUGGUCGGACAUCAGGAGGUUAGUGCAAUGGCAUAAGCCAGCUUGACUGCGAGCGUGACGGCGCGAGCAGGUGCGAAAGCAGGUCAUAGUGAUCCGGUGGUUCUGAAUGGAAGGGCCAUCGCUCAACGGAUAAAAGGUACUCCGGGGAUAACAGGCUGAUACCGCCCAAGAGUUCAUAUCGACGGCGGUGUUUGGCACCUCGAUGUCGGCUCAUCACAUCCUGGGGCUGAAGUAGGUCCCAAGGGUAUGGCUGUUCGCCAUUUAAAGUGGUACGCGAGCUGGGUUUAGAACGUCGUGAGACAGUUCGGUCCCUAUCUGCCGUGGGCGCUGGAGAACUGAGGGGGGCUGCUCCUAGUACGAGAGGACCGGAGUGGACGCAUCACUGGUGUUCGGGUUGUCAUGCCAAUGGCACUGCCCGGUAGCUAAAUGCGGAAGAGAUAAGUGCUGAAAGCAUCUAAGCACGAAACUUGCCCCGAGAUGAGUUCUCCCUGACUCCUUGAGAGUCCUGAAGGAACGUUGAAGACGACGACGUUGAUAGGCCGGGUGUGUAAGCGCAGCGAUGCGUUGAGCUAACCGGUACUAAUGAACCGUGAGGCUUAACCUUACAACGCCGAAGGUGUUU
rnacentral:rRNA from 1 species